AGCGUACACGGUGGAUGCCCUGGCAGUCAGAGGCGAUGAAGGACGUGCUAAUCUGCGAUAAGCGUCGGUAAGGUGAUAUGAACCGUUAUAACCGGCGAUUUCCGAAUGGGGAAACCCAGUGUGAUUCGUCACACUAUCAUUAACUGAAUCCAUAGGUUAAUGAGGCGAACCGGGGGAACUGAAACAUCUAAGUACCCCGAGGAAAAGAAAUCAACCGAGAUUCCCCCAGUAGCGGCGAGCGAACGGGGAGCAGCCCAGAGCCUGAAUCAGUGUGUGUGUUAGUGGAAGCGUCUGGAAAGGCGCGCGAUACAGGGUGACAGCCCCGUACACAAAAAUGCACAUGCUGUGAGCUCGAUGAGUAGGGCGGGACACGUGGUAUCCUGUCUGAAUAUGGGGGGACCAUCCUCCAAGGCUAAAUACUCCUGACUGACCGAUAGUGAACCAGUACCGUGAGGGAAAGGCGAAAAGAACCCCGGCGAGGGGAGUGAAAAAGAACCUGAAACCGUGUACGUACAAGCAGUGGGAGCACGCUUAGGCGUGUGACUGCGUACCUUUUGUAUAAUGGGUCAGCGACUUAUAUUCUGUAGCAAGGUUAACCGAAUAGGGGAGCCGAAGGGAAACCGAGUCUUAACUGGGCGUUAAGUUGCAGGGUAUAGACCCGAAACCCGGUGAUCUAGCCAUGGGCAGGUUGAAGGUUGGGUAACACUAACUGGAGGACCGAACCGACUAAUGUUGAAAAAUUAGCGGAUGACUUGUGGCUGGGGGUGAAAGGCCAAUCAAACCGGGAGAUAGCUGGUUCUCCCCGAAAGCUAUUUAGGUAGCGCCUCGUGAAUUCAUCUCCGGGGGUAGAGCACUGUUUCGGCAAGGGGGUCAUCCCGACUUACCAACCCGAUGCAAACUGCGAAUACCGGAGAAUGUUAUCACGGGAGACACACGGCGGGUGCUAACGUCCGUCGUGAAGAGGGAAACAACCCAGACCGCCAGCUAAGGUCCCAAAGUCAUGGUUAAGUGGGAAACGAUGUGGGAAGGCCCAGACAGCCAGGAUGUUGGCUUAGAAGCAGCCAUCAUUUAAAGAAAGCGUAAUAGCUCACUGGUCGAGUCGGCCUGCGCGGAAGAUGUAACGGGGCUAAACCAUGCACCGAAGCUGCGGCAGCGACGCUUAUGCGUUGUUGGGUAGGGGAGCGUUCUGUAAGCCUGUGAAGGUGUGCUGUGAGGCAUGCUGGAGGUAUCAGAAGUGCGAAUGCUGACAUAAGUAACGAUAAAGCGGGUGAAAAGCCCGCUCGCCGGAAGACCAAGGGUUCCUGUCCAACGUUAAUCGGGGCAGGGUGAGUCGACCCCUAAGGCGAGGCCGAAAGGCGUAGUCGAUGGGAAACAGGUUAAUAUUCCUGUACUUGGUGUUACUGCGAAGGGGGGACGGAGAAGGCUAUGUUGGCCGGGCGACGGUUGUCCCGGUUUAAGCGUGUAGGCUGGUUUUCCAGGCAAAUCCGGAAAAUCAAGGCUGAGGCGUGAUGACGAGGCACUACGGUGCUGAAGCAACAAAUGCCCUGCUUCCAGGAAAAGCCUCUAAGCAUCAGGUAACAUCAAAUCGUACCCCAAACCGACACAGGUGGUCAGGUAGAGAAUACCAAGGCGCUUGAGAGAACUCGGGUGAAGGAACUAGGCAAAAUGGUGCCGUAACUUCGGGAGAAGGCACGCUGAUAUGUAGGUGAAGUCCCUCGCGGAUGGAGCUGAAAUCAGUCGAAGAUACCAGCUGGCUGCAACUGUUUAUUAAAAACACAGCACUGUGCAAACACGAAAGUGGACGUAUACGGUGUGACGCCUGCCCGGUGCCGGAAGGUUAAUUGAUGGGGUUAGCGCAAGCGAAGCUCUUGAUCGAAGCCCCGGUAAACGGCGGCCGUAACUAUAACGGUCCUAAGGUAGCGAAAUUCCUUGUCGGGUAAGUUCCGACCUGCACGAAUGGCGUAAUGAUGGCCAGGCUGUCUCCACCCGAGACUCAGUGAAAUUGAACUCGCUGUGAAGAUGCAGUGUACCCGCGGCAAGACGGAAAGACCCCGUGAACCUUUACUAUAGCUUGACACUGAACAUUGAGCCUUGAUGUGUAGGAUAGGUGGGAGGCUUUGAAGUGUGGACGCCAGUCUGCAUGGAGCCGACCUUGAAAUACCACCCUUUAAUGUUUGAUGUUCUAACGUUGACCCGUAAUCCGGGUUGCGGACAGUGUCUGGUGGGUAGUUUGACUGGGGCGGUCUCCUCCUAAAGAGUAACGGAGGAGCACGAAGGUUGGCUAAUCCUGGUCGGACAUCAGGAGGUUAGUGCAAUGGCAUAAGCCAGCUUGACUGCGAGCGUGACGGCGCGAGCAGGUGCGAAAGCAGGUCAUAGUGAUCCGGUGGUUCUGAAUGGAAGGGCCAUCGCUCAACGGAUAAAAGGUACUCCGGGGAUAACAGGCUGAUACCGCCCAAGAGUUCAUAUCGACGGCGGUGUUUGGCACCUCGAUGUCGGCUCAUCACAUCCUGGGGCUGAAGUAGGUCCCAAGGGUAUGGCUGUUCGCCAUUUAAAGUGGUACGCGAGCUGGGUUUAGAACGUCGUGAGACAGUUCGGUCCCUAUCUGCCGUGGGCGCUGGAGAACUGAGGGGGGCUGCUCCUAGUACGAGAGGACCGGAGUGGACGCAUCACUGGUGUUCGGGUUGUCAUGCCAAUGGCACUGCCCGGUAGCUAAAUGCGGAAGAGAUAAGUGCUGAAAGCAUCUAAGCACGAAACUUGCCCCGAGAUGAGUUCU
rnacentral:rRNA from 1 species